UACGAAGGGGGCUAGCGUUGUUCGGAAUUACUGGGCGUAAAGGGCGCGUAGGCGGCUGUGCAAGUCAGAUGUGAAAGCCCUGGGCUCAACCCAGGAUGUGCAUUUGAUACUGCGCGGCUAGAGUGUCGGAGAGGAUGGUGGAAUUCCCAGUGUAGAGGUGAAAUUCGUAAAUAUUGGGAAGAACACCGGUGGCGAAGGCGACCAUCUGGACGACAACUGACGCUGAGGCGCGAAAGCGUGGGGAGCAAACAGG
rnacentral:rRNA from 1 species